GCCGGUGUAGCUCAAUUGGUAGAGCAACUGACUUGUAAUCAGUAGGUUGGGGGUUCAAGUCCUCUUGCCGGACU
rnacentral:tRNA from 1 species